UGCGUAGGGGGCAAGCGUUAUCCGGAUUUACUGGGUGUAAAGGGAGCGUAGACGGCAGCGCAAGUCUGGAGUGAAAUGCCGGGGCUCAACCCCGGAACUGCUUUGGAAACUGUGCAGCUAGAGUGCGGGAGAGGUAAGCGGAAUUCCUAGUGUAGCGGUGAAAUGCGUAGAUAUUAGGAGGAACACCAGUGGCGAAGGCGGCUUACUGGACCGUAACUGACGUUGAGGCUCGAAAGCGUGGGGAGCAAACAGG
rnacentral:rRNA from 1 species